UCAGCAGCAUAUUUCACUCUUUCUGUGUUUUUGGGAAUGCUAAGCAGGUUACAGCCUUCUCUUUUGUGUUCUUCCAGCUCGCUCUUUCCUCACUUCCAGCAAGCACUGGAGCUGCUUCAAACAGGACACAGAUUUGUCAUCUUUAUUUUUGAACUAUUCGUCUCCAUUAUUUGUUAAUAUGCUGUGCCAUUACCACUUCUCCAAUCAACUGAAAAAUAUCCUGAAUAGCAAUAAGAGGAUCAGCACCUUCUAAAAUAAUUGUUUGAUCAGAUGCCCAUGAGCAGAUCAAUGAGUCUGACCCUAAUCGCAGGUAAGUUCAAAACAGCAGGACAGAUGUAGAGGCAUUACUGAUU